rnacentral:rRNA from 1 species
UACGUAGGUGGCAAGCGUUGUCCGGAUUUAUUGGGUUUAAAGGGUGCGUAGGCGGCCCUGUAAGUCAGUGGUGAAAUACUCCAGCUUAACUGGAGGGGUGCCAUUGAUACUGCAGGGCUUGAGUGGAGUCGAAGUAGGCGGAAUUGACGGUGUAGCGGUGAAAUGCUUAGAUAUCGUCAAGAACACCGAUAGUGAAGACAGCUUACUAGGCCUCUACUGACGCUGAGGCACGAAAGUGUGGGGAUCAAACAGG